AAGCAUUAAAGAUGUUCGCCGUGUUUCUGUAAAUCUAGUAUUACUGUAGUGCGCACAGAUUUGAUCUGAACCAGAUCAGCCUCAUUAGGACUGCGGGCAUCAAACAUCCCACAGCGGAUAGACUGGAGAUCUGCCUCACAAAAAAAGUGCAAAAAUCUCCCUCAUAUGGUCGCUAAAUGUCUUUAUUUGCAUUUAGCCCGCUGUAUCUUUCACUGAAGCAUAAAUUAAUGUGAUUCACGGGACGAGAGAUUUGGCGCAGCGACCCAAAGGAUGAGCUGAUGCUUCACCCGCAACAUGGAAAGGCAGGACACACUGCUGCAUCCCCGCAAUAAAACACAACCAGGAAUCUUGGAAAUUCAAAGGAUUUUGGCUUGCAACUGAACACUUUAGAGGUGGAUUUAUGUGGAUGAACAAUCAAUGGGAUGGAGACGGAAAUGGACGGAGAGCUACUUUAUUGAGCACGAGGAACUUCUCUGCCGUGCUUGAUGCAUAUUAUCCCAUUAUUAACAUGAUCUCAGGAGGUCUUGGAUGCUCCUGAAGGCGCAGCUCUAGAGGAUCCAUGUCAUUGCAUUGGUCGCUGUCCACUGCG
ensembl:lncRNA